UACGUAGGGGGCAAGCGUUAUCCGGAAUUAUUGGGCGUAAAGAGCUCGUAGGCGGCUCGGUAAGUCGGAUGUGAAACCUCCAGGCUCAACCUGGAGACGCCAUCUGAUACUGCCGUGGCUUGAGUCCGGUAGAGGAGCAGGGAAUUCCUGGUGUAGCGGUGAAAUGCGCAGAUAUCAGGAGGAACACCAGCGGCGAAGGCGCUGCUCUGGGCCGGUACUGACGCUGAGGAGCGAAAGCGUGGGGAGCGAACAGG
rnacentral:rRNA from 1 species